AUGGUUUAGAAUCAUCUCCAAGGUGAUCUGAGUGUUUUCCAAAGGGAAACACACUCUAAGCUCCAGACCAUUAGAAAAAACUGAAAAAGCAAACCUCUCCUACUUCCCUGGGUCACCUGGGAUCAAUCACUACAUCACAAACCUGGAAUCAGAUACAAUUUAAACACAUUAUGGAAAAUUAUAGCCCAGAUGAUUACUUCAGUAUAGCCAUGAAGAGACAGAGACAGAAUGUGACAAGAAUAUUUAUGUGGGAAAGAAGGCCAAGUGGAGCACCCUUCAAAAGGAAUAUUUAUUUUGCCAAAACACAUGCAAUGAGAACAUAAGAGGCAGUUAGUCAAUAAGUAUUUGUUCAACAAUCAAUCAAUCAGCAUACAUUAUUUAUUAAAAGCCUACUAUUUUCAAGCAGUGUACUACAUUUUAGGGAAACAAUAUGAAACAAUCCAUCCCUCUCUCUUUUAUUCCUCAAGAAACUUAGACAGCAAAGAUAUAUAAAUAUAUAUCUACUUUAUAUAUGAAUUUAAUUCAAAUAAAUUCAAAAUAGUGAAAUAGAAGGUAGUUAAGGAAGAAGGAAUCCAAUGGUUGGGAGAAAUCAGUAAAAGUUUCAUGAGAUAUUGAAUCUAAAUAAACAGUCAAAAAGACAAUAUACAUAAUACAAUAAUCUAAAUGGAAAGAACAACUCCAUUCAUAAAAUCAAAAGUGAAUGUUGUAAAGUUAUAAAAAGCAAAGCUGGCUCAGAAGCUAACUAAUCCCUUUGCAGAGGCGGGAGGUCCACAAGAGCUGUAUAUUGCACAUAUUUUCAGGCUUUUUCAAUGGAUUGAUCAAUUAUGUUGAUUUUUUUUUUUUCCUUUUUCGAAUCAUUUUUAAAAUUACUAUUUCUUAUAUGGGAUUACUCUGGGAGAACAAUUAAAAGGGGGACAGGAAAGGAUAUUAGGGAAAAUUGGGAAGUUAGUCAUCAGUUUAGGAGCCUAUGAUGAGACCAAGUAAGGCCAGCCACCCUACCCAAAAACACAUCAAAAGGUGAAAUCUGACAUAUACUCACAAAUCCCCAGAUCAAGGAUUAAAACUUGAGAGCUGAUUAAAUUAAAAAAUACUGACCAGUACAAAAAUUAUCGUAUAUUGUAACGUCUGGGCUAGCUUUCUGGAGGUCCUCCUAAAGGGCCUUGAUCUCAGCAGGAU